rnacentral:rRNA from 1 species
GAACGCUGGCGGCGUGCCUAAUACAUGCAAGUCGAGCGAAUGGAUUAAGAGCUUGCUCUUAUGAAGUUAGCGGCGGACGGGUGAGUAACACGUGGGUAACCUGCCCAUAAGACUGGGAUAACUCCGGGAAACCGGGGCUAAUACCGGAUAACAUUUUGAACCGCAUGGUUCGAAAUUGAAAGGCGGCUUCGGCUGUCACUUAUGGAUGGACCCGCGUCGCAUUAGCUAGUUGGUGAGGUAACGGCUCACCAAGGCAACGAUGCGUAGCCGACCUGAGAGGGUGAUCGGCCACACUGGGACUGAGACACGGCCCAGACUCCUACGGGAGGCAGCAGUAGGGAAUCUUCCGCAAUGGACGAAAGUCUGACGGAGCAACGCCGCGUGAGUGAUGAAGGCUUUCGGGUCGUAAAACUCUGUUGUUAGGGAAGAACAAGUGCUAGUUGAAUAAGCUGGCACCUUG